CAUUGUCUAGAAAGAAGCAAUUUGUUUAUAGAAGACCGAUAAACACUGUGCCGACUUUCUUCCAUUGACAUACUAGCAACCAUAAGGAAAUUCACUCGUUGUCAUGUUGGAAGACAGAGUCAUGAAAAAGGAUACAGAAUAGGUCAGUUUUAAACAUAGUUGAAGAAAGUAUGGUGUGAGGACAAUAGUGACAGAGUGGGGAAUACCGAGUUGCUGGGCUGUAGUAGUGGGAAUUCUGGGCACUUGUCCCUUUAGUGUGAGGACCCUAGACACUGGGAAAUCUGAGGAGCACUAUUUAGAUGCAAAAAUGGACCAUUUUGAUGUUCUCAUCUGUAUCAGUGUUGUCAAGGAAACAGAUGACUUGCUCAAAUUAGGAUAAUUCAAAGAGUGUUUAAUAAAAGGACAAUUUUCAAAGGUAAAAGAGAGGUGUAGGGAAACCUCAAGGAUAGUGAAGUCAGGUCUUGAAACAGAGAAGCUGUAAUCAAAUUAGGCCCAAAGUGAUAAAAGGAGGAUAGAUGGCUGCUGGAACCCAAAAGGAAGAGUUGCGUAGAAAAGAUGACUUGAGAAGAUCUGUGACCUUGGUUGAGAGGACACAGCUUACCUGAGAGCCAGGGGCCUAAAUAUACUGACCUCAUACUCCUCCCUCCCUCCAAUCUCUGCCAGGGCUCCCCAUUGGCCCAACUAGAAGCCAGGGAGCACAAGAGCCUACUGGUGUAGUUCAUGAACUCAGUUUCCUGGGUGGAAAGCACAAUGGAGAAGAGCAGAGAGUGGGUCUGAAGGACAAAGAGAAGACACUGUGUCCCUUCCCUUGUUUGUCCUCUUUCAGAGAUGGUUCUGGACAACUCUAGGACUAAAACCAGAAAGAGAGAGAAGGAAACUAAGUCUGGAACAUCUGCAGAUGAUGUAAUUUGUUCCUAAGAAUUUGAGAGAUUCUGAAAACAUAAAUAAAUCAUAACUUCAGGCUUUCAAGUAAGACUUGGAUACAGCGAGCUCUCCCGGGAGGUGUUGAGGAGGGUGUUUGGAAACGUACCUUUGGCUGGUAUUGAAGGAAGAAGAGUUCUCAUUUCAACCAGUUAACUAGUUAUUUCAUCCAAGAAAUAGCAUAAUGGAAAAUAUAGGGAAAUGAGUAUUUAAGUGUUGGAGGAAAAAAAAAAAAGAAAAGGAAAGCAGACCAAGCAGGAAGAAGCAGAGGAGGUGGAGUGGGCACUUAUUAAGGGAAGCAAAGCUUUCCAGAAACCUCAGUUUAUGAUUCACUACCCAGAACUGGGUCAUAUGGUAGUUGGGCACCCCGAGCUGAGAGCGAGUCUGGAGAAGCAGACAUUUCUACCUGGGCACAGUGAUGCCCUGAACCAAAUCAGGUUUCUGGUAGAAGACAGAAACAGGCGUAGAUAUUGGGCAGGCAAUUAGCAGUGCUUCCUGUCUUACAGAAAACUAAGACUCAUAUAUGUGAAGGAAUUGAUCCAAGAAUUCACAGUUAGUAAGUGAUGGAGCUAAUAUUCACACUUGGCUUCUUUGGACUCCAAAUGCUUUUGUGUACUGGGUUAUAAAGUUAUAAUGGAAGGCUGGUGCUGGCUUCUUGCCUUAACAUGUAGCACUAAAAGACUGGUAGUUUAUCCUGUAGGAAAGGAUGGCUUUGGACAUAUGGAGAAGAAAAAACAGAAUAUUUCUAGGAGAUGAAUUUAUUUCACCUGCAGUGAGGAACACAGGAUAUUGGUUCCAGUUUUGUCACUGACUUAUAACUUAGCUCCUGGACCUGAAGCAGACCUGCAGAGAGGAUCAAGUGCAGAGACAAGCUGCUGCUGAGAUCAUCAUAGGGGACCUCUUCUAACAUAUGAGUUCCUGAGGAAGUGCUGUGACCUUCCAAUGCUGCCACUGGUAGUCUCAUUUCAAAGAGUAAAAUGUGAAAAUCCAAUGGCAGCAGCUAUUGUGAUAUGCCAGACAGCAGGAAUUGGGACUAAAAAUCAAGGGAUACUUGUGAUAAUAGAUCCAUAGUACUUUGGAGCUGGAAGAAACCCAGCUUCAAAAAACAGCUUGAUUUGCAGCUCUUCAUUCAAAAAGAAUCCCAUCCAGGGUAUGACAUUGAACUUACUCAUCACGUCUCUAUAGUGUCUUCUGGUAUGUAAUACUUUCUCAGUCUUUCUUUAUUUCCAUAACCUUGAUUAACUGUUUUGAAGAUUACUGGUCAGCAUUUUGUAGAAUGGCUGUCAGUUUGACUUUGAUGUUUUUCUUAUGAUUAUGUUAGGGGUAUGGGGUUUGAAGAAGCAUACCAUGGGAGCGAAGUGCUCUUCUCAUCAUAUCAGGGGGUACAUAAUAGCAACAUGGUUUAUCUUUGAUCAUAUUAAUCUGGAUCACUUGGUUAAGAUAGUGCCUGCGAGGUUUCUUUUUUUGAGAUGGAGUCUUGCUCUAUCGCCCAGGCUGGAC
rnacentral:lncRNA from 1 species